rnacentral:rRNA from 1 species
GAUAACUAUUGGAAACGAUAGCUAAUACCGCAUAACAAUGGGUGACCCAUGUCAUUCAUUUGAAAGGGGCAACUGCUCCACUACAAGAUGGACCUGCGUUGUAUUAGCUAGUAGGUGAGGUAACGGCUCACCUAGGCGACGAUACAUAGCCGACCUGAGAGGGUGAUCGGCCACACUGGGACUGAGACACGGCCCAGACUCCUACGGGAGGCAGCAGUAGGGAAUCUUCGGCAAUGGGGGCAACCCUGACCGAGCAACGCCGCGUGAGUGAAGAAGGUUUUCGGAUCGUAAAGCUCUGUUGUAAGUCAAGAACGAGUGUGAGAGUGGAAAGUUCACACUGUGACGGUAGCUUACCAGAAAGGGACGGCUAACUACGUGCCAGCAGCCGCGGUAAUACGUAGGUCCCGAGCGUUGUCCGGAUUUAUUGGGCGUAAAGCGAGCGCAGGCGGUUUGAUAAGUCUGAAGUUAAAGGCUGUGGCUCAACCAUAGUUCGCUUUGGAAACUGUCAAACUUGAGUGCAGAAGGGGAGAGUGGAAUUCCAUGUGUAGCGGUGAAAUGCGUAGAUAUAUGGAGGAACACCGGUGGCGAAAGCGGCUCUCUGGUCUGUAACUGACGCUGAGGCUCGAAAGCGUGGGGAGCGAACAGGAUUAGAUACCCUGGUAGUCCACGCCGUAAACGAUGAGUGCUAGGUGUUGGGUCCUUUCCGGGAUUCAGUGCCGCAGCUAACGCAUUAAGCACUCCGCCUGGGGAGUACGACCGCAAGGUUGAAACUCAAAGGAAUUGACGGGGGCCCGCACAAGCGGUGGAGCAUGUGGUUUAAUUCGAAGCAACGCGAAGAACCUUACCAGGUCUUGACAUCCCGAUGCUAUUUCUAGAGAUAGGAAGUUACUUCGGUACAUCGGUGACAGGUGGUGCAUGGUUGUCGUCAGCUCGUGUCGUGAGAUGUUGGGUUAAGUCCCGCAACGAGCGCAACCCCUAUUGUUAGUUGCCAUCAUUCAGUUGGGCACUCUAGCGAGACUGCCGGUAAUAAACCGGAGGAAGGUGGGGAUGACGUCAAAUCAUCAUGCCCCUUAUGACCUGGGCUACACACGUGCUACAAUGGUUGGUACAACGAGUUGCGAGUCGGUGACGGCGAGCUAAUCUCUUAAAGCCAAUCUCAGUUCGGAUUGUAGGCUGCAACUCGCCUACAUGAAGUCGGAAUCGCUAGUAAUCGCGGAUCAGCACGCC